GACGAACGCUGGCGGCGUGCUUAACACAUGCAAGUCGAACGGAAAGGCCCCUUUGGGGGUACUCGAGUGGCGAACGGGUGAGUAACACGUGAGUAACCUGCCCUUGACUUCGGGAUAACUUCAGGAAACUGGGGCUAAUACCGGAUAGGAAUCCUUGCUGCAUGGUGGGGGUUGGAAAGCUUCGGCGGUUUUGGAUGGACUCGCGGCUUAUCAGCUUGUUGGUGGGGUAGUGGCUUACCAAGGCUUUGACGGGUAGCCGGCCUGAGAGGGCGACCGGCCACAUUGGGACUGAGAUACGGCCCAGACUCCUACGGGAGGCAGCAGUGAGGAAUAUUGCACAAUGGGCGGAAGCCUGAUGCAGCAACGCCGCGUGCGGGAUGACGGCCUUCGGGUUGUAAACCGCUUUCAGCAGGGGCGAAGCUUGUGGUGACGGUACCUGCAGAAGAAGCACCGGCUAACUACGUG
rnacentral:rRNA from 1 species